rnacentral:rRNA from 1 species
AGAGUUUGAUCCUGGCUCAGAUUGAACGCUGGCGGCAUGCUUUACACAUGCAAGUCGAACGGCAGCGCGGGGAGCUUGCUCCCUGGCGGCGAGUGGCGCACGGGUGAGUAAUACAUCGGAACGUGUCUUCUAGUGGGGGAUAACUGCCCGAAAGGGCAGCUAAUACCGCAUGAGACCUGAGGGUGAAAGCGGGGGAUCGCAAGACCUCGCGCUGGAAGAGCGGCCGAUGUCCGAUUAGCUAGUUGGUGAGGUAAAGGCUCACCAAGGCGACGAUCGGUAGCUGGUCUGAGAGGACGACCAGCCACACUGGGACUGAGACACGGCCCAGACUCCUACGGGAGGCAGCAGUGGGGAAUUUUGGACAAUGGGGGCAACCCUGAUCCAGCCAUGCCGCGUGCAGGAUGAAGGUCUUCGGAUUGUAAACUGCUUUUGUCAGGGACGAAAAGGGAUGCGAUAACACCGUAUUCCGCUGACGGUACCUGAAGAAUAAGCACCGGCUAACUACGUGCCAGCAGCCGCGGU